UACGAAGGGGGCUAGCGUUGUUCGGAAUCACUGGGCGUAAAGCGCACGUAGGCGGAUUUGUAAGUAAGGAGUGAAAUCCCGGGGCUCAACCUCGGAACUGCCCUUGAUACUGCAAGUCUCGAGUUCGGGAGAGGUGAGUGGAAUUCCUAGUGUAGAGGUGAAAUUCGUAGAUAUUAGGAAGAACACCAGUGGCGGAGGCGGCUCACUGGCCCGAUACUGACGCUGAGGUGCGAAAGCGUGGGGAGCAAACAGG
rnacentral:rRNA from 1 species